AUUUUAUGUUUGUUUUCAUCUAAAAAAUGUGUUUUUUAAUGGUGAUAACAGAGGUGGGUAACAGAAAUUAAACGGAAGUAACCUCAAAUGGGGUGUAAAGUUUUAAACCACGGAUAAGUAAAGUGAAAAUGGACCAAAUCUCAGGUGGGUUUACUGUAAUUAUCCCUUUAAAUUUUUAUGGUGUCGUUAUAGGUUCUCACUAAUUGACUAGAAGACAAAGAAAUAAUUGAGACAUGCGUAUACACAGGCAAUUAUACAGUGUCCGGAUAUCAAAUGAGCUAGGAAGAGGGAGUUCAAAAGCUGCAAAGUUCUCAAUUGUGAUAACAGUACUCACAUCAUUUGCCAUUGGAUUCGUUCUUUUCUUGUUUUUCCUAUUCUUCGGAGGACGUCUUGCUUACAUAUUCACCGAAAGUCAGGAGGUGGCUAAAGCAGUUGCAAACUUGUCACCAUUGUUGGCUGUCUCUAUACUAUUGAACAGUAUUCAACCUGUACUCUCUGGAGUUGCUGUUGGAGCUGGCUGGCAAAGCAUUGUAGCAUAUGUCAACAUAGCCUGCUAUUACCUAAUAGGGGUUCCUGUUGGACCGUUGGUGUUGUGCUUGCUUAUGUUUAUAACAUGGAAGUCAUAUCUCUAUCCCCUUUCCCAUGUUAUAUUCUUAUGUUUAGAUUUUGUGUUUUCUAACUAUUAAAAAUUGAUAUAAUUAUAAUUUUAUAAAUUCGCAUAAUGACAAAAUCUUAAAAUUGACAAAGAUAAUUUAGAUAUUGAGCUAACUGCAUUCUUUCUUAUAAAUGUAAUUAUUCAACUACCUCUAAAAAAAUGAUCUGUAAUGGAUAUAUGUAUAGCUGCAAAAUUUUACUUGUUUUUCUCAACCCCUUUUUUCGGUAUCAUCUUGUAGGGUAUUUGGAUUGGAAUGUUAUUCGGAACAUUUGUUCAAACUAUUGUGCUUACCUUUAUCACCUACAAAACCGAUUGGGAUGAACAGGUAAUUUUAGCUCGUAAUUGUGUUAAAAAGUGGGUUGUGAAAGAUUCAGAAGAACCAAAUCUUUCCACAUCAAAUGCCUAACCUCAUGCCGCAUUUCUUAUCUUAUGUACCUUUAAUUUAAAAUGCUGGAUUAAUUUAUGAGGCUAUUAAUUAUCAUUUAUGCUUAUAAUA